rnacentral:rRNA from 1 species
GACGAACGCUGGCGGCGUGCUUAACACAUGCCAGUCGAACGGUGAAGCGCCUUCCUUUUUGGUGGGUGUGGAUGAGUGGCGAACGGGUGAGUAACACGUGAGUAACCUGCCCCCUUCUUCUGGAUAACCGCAUGAAAGUGUGGCUAAUACGGGAUAUUCUGGGUCUGUCGCAUGAUGGGUCUGGGAAAGAUAUUGUUUCGGUGGGGGAUGGGCUCGCGGCCUAUCAGCUUGUUGGUGGGGUGAUGGCCUACCAAGGCGGUGACGGGUAGCCGGCCUGAGAGGGUGGACGGUCACAAUGGGACUGAGACACGGCCCAGACUCCUACGGGAGGCAGCGGUGGGGAAUAUUGCACAAUGGGCGCAAGCCUGAUGCAGCGACGCCGCGUGAGGGAUGGAGGCCUUCGGGUUGUGAACCUCUUUCGCCAGUGAAGCAGGCCUGCCUCGUUUGUGGGUGGGUUGACGGUAGCUGGAUAAGAAGCGCCGGCUAACUACGUG